rnacentral:miRNA from 1 species
CCUCGACUCACUUUGUAGACCAGGCUGGCCUCAAACUCACAGAGAUCUGCCCACCUCUGCCUCCUUGAGUGCAGG